GCGGCGGGAGGUGGUGGCCGGGGUGGGAGGUGUGUGAGCGCGUGUGUCGCGCAGUGGGGAGCAGUGGGUCGCGCUGCCGGCUGUCAGCUAGCUACGCGCCGCCGCCCGAUGGCUCCAAGAGGUGUGCUGGAUCGACCCCGGGGGGCCGGCAGUGGGUAAGCCCCUCUGCCUGUCUCCCGCGAGCAUGACACCUCCAGCCUCGGCGACAGCCUUCGCCAGCAGUGCCCGCGCUCCCGCCUCCGGCAGCCGCAGCCACUGCCUUGGGCAGUGGCCCCCGGACCCCCGCCCUUGAUCCACGCCCAGACCCUAGCGUCAGAAGACCAUGGCUGGCCAAGGGGACUGCUGCGUCAAGGUGGCGGUCAGGAUCCGGCCCCAGCUGUCAAAGGAGAAGAUUGAGGGCUGUCACAUCUGUACGUCUGUAACCCCGGGGGAACCCCAGGUCCUACUGGGGAAGGACAAGGCCUUCACCUAUGACUUUGUUUUUGACUUGGACACUUGGCAAGAACAGAUCUAUUCGACCUGUGUGAACAAGCUUAUCGAGGGCUGCUUUGAGGGCUACAAUGCCACAGUGCUGGCCUAUGGGCAGACGGGGGCCGGGAAGACGUACACUAUGGGCACUGGCUUCGACACGGUGACGUCAGAGGAGGAGCAGGGCAUCAUCCCAAGGGCCAUAGCUCACCUCUUCGGGGGCAUCGCUGAACGCAAGCGACGGGCUCAGGAGAAGGGUGUGGCUGGGCCUGAAUUCAAAGUCAGCGCUCAGUUCCUGGAGCUCUACAAUGAGGAGAUCCUUGACCUGUUUGAUAGCACUCGUGACCCUGACGCUCGCCACCGCAGGUCCAACAUCAAGAUCCACGAGGAUGCCAAUGGUGGCAUCUAUACCACAGGCGUCACGUCUCGCCUCAUCAACUCCCAGGAGGAGCUGAUCCAGUGCCUGAAGCAGGGCGCCUUGUCCCGUACCACGGCCAGCACCCAGAUGAAUGUACAGAGCUCGCGCUCCCAUGCCAUCUUCACCAUCCACCUGUGCCAGAUGCGUGUGUGUGCCCAGCCCGACCUGGUGAACGAGGCGGUGACAGGGCUUCCUGAGGGCACAGCUCCUACGAACGAAUACGAGACACUCACAGCCAAAUUUCACUUUGUGGACCUGGCUGGCUCCGAGAGGCUGAAGCGGACAGGGGCCACGGGUGAGCGGGCCAAGGAGGGCAUCUCCAUCAACUGUGGCCUGCUGGCCUUGGGCAAUGUGAUCAGCGCCCUGGGGGACCAGAGCAAGAAGGUGGUGCACGUGCCCUACAGGGACUCCAAGCUCACUCGGCUCCUCCAGGACUCUCUGGGGGGCAACAGCCAGACCAUCAUGAUUGCCUGCGUGAGCCCCUCAGAUCGGGACUUCAUGGAGACACUCAACACACUCAAAUACGCCAACCGGGCCCGCAACAUCAAGAACAAGGUGGUGGUGAACCAGGACAAGACGAGCCAGCAGAUCAGCGCACUGCGGGCUGAGAUCGCUCGCCUGCAGAUGGAGUUGAUGGAGUAUAAGGCGGGCAAGCGGGUGAUUGGGGAGGAUGGAGCCGAGGGCUACAGUGACCUGUUCCGGGAGAAUGCCAUGCUGCAGAAGGAGAACGGGGCACUGCGGCUGCGGGUGAAGGCCAUGCAGGAAGCCAUCGAUGCCAUCAACAGCCGUGUCACCCAUCUCAUGAGCCAGGAGGCCAACCUGCUUCUGGCCAAGGCUGGUGAUGGCAACGAGGCCAUCGGUGCUCUGAUCCAGAACUAUAUCCGGGAAAUUGAGGAGCUGCGGACAAAGCUCCUGGAGAGUGAGGCCAUGAAUGAGUCCCUCCGCCGCAGCCUGUCAAGGGCAUCGGCUCGGAGCCCCUAUUCCCUGGGAGCAUCCCCAGCAGGUCCGGCCUUUGGGGCCAGCCCAGCCAGCUCCAUGGAGGAUGCUUCUGAGGUGAUCCGCAGGGCCAAGCAGGACCUGGAGCGACUGAAGAAGAAGGAGGUCAGGCAGCGGAGGAAGAGCAGUCCAGAGAAGGAAGCCUUCAAAAAGAGGGCAAAACUCCAACAGGAAAACAGUGAGGAGACAGACGAGAAUGAGGCUGAGGAGGAGGAGGAAGAUCGAGACGAGAGUGGCUGUGAGGAGGAGGAAGGGCGUGAGGAUGAAGACGAGGACUCGGGCAGCGAGGAGAGCCUGGUGGACUCAGACUCAGACCCCGAGGAGAAGGAGGUGAACUUCCAGGCGGACCUGGCCGACCUGACAUGUGAGAUCGAGAUCAAGCAGAAGCUGAUUGAUGAGCUGGAGAACAGCCAGCGGCGCCUGCAGACACUCAAGCACCAGUACGAGGAGAAGCUGAUCCUGCUGCAGAACAAGAUCCGAGACACCCAGCUAGAGCGGGACCGUGUGCUACAGAACCUCAGCACCAUGGAGUGCUACACAGAGGAGAAGGCCAACAAGAUCAAGGCGGAUUAUGAGAAGAGACUGCGGGAGAUGAACCGAGACCUGCAGAAACUGCAGGCUGCGCAGAAGGAGCACGCCCGGCUGCUCAAGAACCAAUCGCGCUAUGAGAGGGAGCUGAAGAAGCUUCAGGCUGAGGUGGCCGAGAUGAAGAAGGCCAAGGUGGCCCUGAUGAAGCAGAUGCGGGAGGAGCAGCAGCGCCGCCGGCUGGUGGAGACCAAGAGGAACCGGGAGAUCGCUCAGCUCAAGAAGGAGCAGCGACGGCAGGAGUUUCAAAUCCGGGCCUUGGAAUCCCAGAAGCGGCAGCAGGAAAUGGUCCUGAGGAGGAAAACCCAGGAGGUUUCUGCAUUGAGGCGCCUGGCCAAGCCCAUGUCGGAGCGGGUGGCAGGGCGCGCAGGGCUGAAGCCACCCAUGCUGGACUCGGGGGCUGAGGUGUCAGCCAGCACCACCUCAUCUGAGGCCGAGUCGGGGGCCCGCUCUGUCUCCAGCAUUGUGCGCCAGUGGAACCGCAAGAUCAACCACUUCCUGGGUGACCAUCCUGCCAACACCGUCAAUGGUACCCGCCCGGCCAGAAAGAAGUUCCAGAAGAAGGGGGCCAGCCAGAGCUUCAGUAAGGCUGCAAGACUCAAGUGGCAGUCCCUGGAACGGAGGAUCAUUGAUAUUGUCAUGCAGAGAAUGACCAUUGUCAACCUGGAAGCUGACAUGGAGAGGCUCAUCAAGAAAAGGGAGGAGCUGUUCCUCCUGCAGGAGGCACUGCGGAGGAAACGUGAGCGGCUGCAGGCCGAGAGCCCGGAGGAGGAGAAGGGGCUGCAGGAGUUGGCCGAAGAGAUUGAGGUGCUGGCGGCCAACAUCGACUACAUCAACGACAGCAUCACCGACUGCCAGGCCACCAUCAUGCAGCUGGAGGAGACCAAGGAGGAGCUGGACUCCACGGAUACCUCGGUGGUCAUCAGCUCCUGCUCCCUGGCCGAAGCCCGCCUCCUGCUGGACAACUUCCUCAAGGCGUCCAUUGACAAGGGGCUGCAAGUGGCACAGAAGGAGGCCCAGAUCCGGCUGCUGGAGGGACGGCUGAAGCAGACAGACAUGGCAGGCUCCUCCCAGAACCACCUGCUCCUGGAUGCCCUGCGUGAGAAGGCCGAGGCGCACCCCGAACUGCAGGCCCUCAUCUACAAUGUACAGCAGGAGAAUGGCUAUGCCAGCACAGACGAGGAAGUCUCAGAAUUCUCUGAGGGGAGCUUCUCCCAGUCAUUCACCAUGAAAGGCUCCACCAGCCAUGAUGAUUUCAAGUUCAAGGGGGAGCCCAAGCUGUCUGCCCAAAUGAAGGCUGUGUCAGCUGAGUGCCUGGGACCCCCACUGGACAUCUCCACCAAGAACAUCACCAAGUCCUUGGCCUCCCUUGUUGAGAUCAAAGAAGAUGGGGUGGGCUUCUCCAUCCGUGAUCCCUACUACCGAGACAAGGUCUCACGCACCGUCAGCCUGCCCACCCGGGGCAGUACUUUCCCCCGGCAGUCUCGAGGCACAGAGACGUCCCCUCUGUCCCGGAGGAAGUCCUAUGACCGGGGGCAGCCUAUCAGGUCCACAGAUGUGGGAUUCACGCCUCCAUCUUCCCCUCCCACCCGGCCCCGCAAUGACCGCAACGUCUUCUCUCGUCUCACCAGUAAUCAGAGCCAGGGGUCAGCACUGGACAAGUCUGAUGACAGCGACUCCUCUUUGUCGGAGGUCCUGAGGGGCAUCAUCACCCCCGUUGGAGGAGCUAAGGGUGCGCGGACAGCCCCGCUGCAGUGUGUGUCUGUGGCCGAGGGUCACACCAAGCCCAUCCUCUGCCUGGACGCCACAGACGAGUUGCUUUUCACAGGGUCCAAAGACCGAAGCUGCAAGAUGUGGAACCUGGUAACGGGGCAGGAGAUCGCAGCUCUAAAGGGCCAUCCCAACAAUGUGGUCUCCAUCAAGUACUGCAGCCACUCGGGGCUGGUAUUCUCCGUGUCCACCUCCUACAUCAAGGUGUGGGACAUCCGGGACUCAGCCAAGUGCAUUCGGACUCUCACGUCCUCAGGCCAGGUGAUCUCAGGUGACGCCUGUGCUGCCACUUCAACCCGGGCCAUCACCAGUGCCCAGGGGGAGCACCAGAUCAACCAGAUGGCCCUCAGCCCCUCUGGCACCAUGCUGUAUGUGGCCGCAGGCAAUGCCGUCCGCAUCUGGGAGCUCAGCAGGUUCCAACCCAUUGGCAAGCUGACUGGACACAUUGGCCCCGUGAUGUGCCUGACGGUCACCCAGACUGCCAGCCAGCAUGACCUGGUGGUGACUGGCUCCAAGGACCACUACGUCAAGAUGUUCCAGCUCGGCGAGUGUGUGACAGGUACCAUUGGCCCCACUCAUAACUUUGAGCCCCCGCACUACGAUGGCAUCGAGUGCCUGGCCAUCCAGGGAGACAUCCUGUUCAGUGGCUCCCGUGACAACGGCAUCAAGAAGUGGGACCUGGAGCAGCAGGAGCUCAUUCAGCAAAUCCCCAAUGCCCACAAGGACUGGGUGUGUGCCCUGGCCUUCGUCCCAGGCCGCCCCAUGCUGCUGAGCGCCUGCCGCGCGGGCGUCAUCAAAGUCUGGAACGUGGACAACUUCACGCCCAUUGGUGAGAUCAAGGGCCACGACAGCCCCAUCAAUGCCAUCUGUACCAACACUAAGCACAUCUUUACAGCCUCCAGUGACUGCCGGGUAAAGUUGUGGAAUUACGUCCCUGGACUCACCCCCUGCCUUCCUCGCCGAGUCCUGGCCAUAAAGGGCCGCGCCACCACCCUGCCCUGACCCUCCCCCUCUCCCCGGUCUCCUCUCUCGUUCUUCCCCUCUUUCCUUUUUCCCUGUCUUUUCCCCUCUUCGGUCUGAGCUGCUUCUUCACGUGACCUGACGGUGAAGUUCUGGAGCAUACGGCGGUUACCAGCGGCCAACCCUAGGAGUUAGGUCAGGGCAUGCCUGGACCCUCAACCCCAGCAGCCUUCACUGCAUGGAAGGGAAGCUGUGGCCUGACCAGACUGGCUAGCGGCACUGGGGACAGAGGGUGUGGCCCCUCUCCUGUUCCACUUCCUCUCCCUCGGCCAUAGGAUACUAUCACCUCCGUUCCUCCCCGACUCUUAGGAGCCUCCUGGUGAAAGAAGUUGGAGAGGAAAUCAAGCUGUGAAGCCAAAGGGCAUUACCCCUCUUCUCUCUCCCCUGGAAGUCCCCUGGGGUUCCCUCCAUCUGGCCUCACGGUCUCCUGCUGAGCUAGCCCUGCUGCAGGCCAUUGGUCCAGGGUGGGACCUGUAGGGGAGGGGAAGCAGCUUCUGCCCAUCAUGCCCCUCUGAUGAGCGCCCAGCUCAGCCUCUGUACCACUUCACCUGCCUCUGAGCCCAACCAGGUAGUCCUCAGGUAACCAUGGAAACCAGGUGUAGGCAGCUAGGCCUUGCAGCUGACCUUGAACCCUGUGGCCAACAACAUCUAGUCCCAGUGGGCCUGAACCAUUCCCUGGAGUCCCAUUCUGAUGGGGGCCAAGGUGGAGCUACUAGAAAGAUUCCUUUGAGGAGAUGGUCAGGAAUACUUCAUUUUUUUAACUUAUUAUUUUUUUUAUUUUUUGCUGUUGCCUCCUGGAAACCGACUUGAAGUUCCUUCCCACACAUUCUUUCCCUCAGCUUUAGGGACUUUGCUCCCCAGCACUCCAGGGCCACCUCCUCUGUUUGCUUUGCAAAGGAGAGAAAUGCCCUCUGCCACUCUUUGCAGCCCUGACCUAUCCCCAGCUCUGUCCCUGGGGAUGCUUCUAGUGCCCCCCUGGCCUCUGGGCCGCCUGAGCUUCAGUGCCUUCCUUCGCCCCGGGGCCUGGCCCUCGUGCUGGGCAGCCUUACGCCAACCAUGCCCGCUGCGCCACAUGUGUCUUCUACUCAAGGGGUCUCAUGUCCACCACCCCUGGAAGGCGGGGGAGCUCACCCCACACAGCCCAGGGCUCGGGAGCCCUGCUCCCCGGACUCCCACAUGGUCACAUAGGAAGCAGCUUGGUGGCCCUGUCCACUGGGAAGCUGCUUGGGUGGUGAGGACUGCCUAGCACCUUGCCCCUCCCUCCCAAUCAACCUAUCGUUUCACCCCUGAAUAGGACAAGGGGUCUUUUCAGCUUCUGUCCUUCUGGUUAUCAGGAGGCACAUUCUCAAGCCUUAAAAGCGGCACGGGGCCUGGGCCUCCCUAGAGAUUGGAGGUCAGAUGGCAGUUAGUUCACUGAGCUGCUCCCUCCCCUGGGGCUCCAGGGAGGGGGCCAAACCAGUGUUCUGACGCCCCCUGUUGGACCCACUCUGAAUUCACAGGAAUGGGAGGGGCCAGCUCCGUCCCUCACUCCUGGCUUCUCCCCAAGCCUGUCCACAUUGUUUUCCGUGGCUUCACUGGUCUGGUGCUGACCGGCCCCAGUCUGGAAGCCAGGAUUCCCAGCUCCGUUCGGAGGACAUGGUGACUUAUGGACUUCCCAGUUAAUGGCGCGAUGUUUCUGUCCUGAGCUCCUCUCCGUCUGUGGCUGGGGCUGUUGGAGUCUGCUCCACGUGGGCCCUGGUGGGCAGGGUGAGGCCCCAGUGAAAGCUGAGGCCUGCCACCCUCCCUGAGCCCUCCUCAGAGCCACCCCAGAGGCUAAGGAGGCCGUCCUGCUUGUUGGCGGCCCCUGCUGGACAUGGCAUUGAGUCUGGGUGAGCAUGCUCAUCUCCUGGAACCUGGACAGUCUGUCUGCUUCGACUGGAAGUCCUUCUUUCUCUUUCCAUCCCUGGAGUGCUGGCUAGCUCCCUUUGCACUCAGAAGUGACCACAAGUCUCCCCCUCCCCGUCCACCCCUCCCCGCCUGAACAGAGAGCUUCGACCUUCAAACUCGUCCGCAUGACCGUUUACAACCACAGAAACACGUGGAGACUUGUGCCCCCUCCCCUGCCCCCAUGGGCCAGGGAGGCCCCAUCGUGGGGCCACCCAGCCCAGGUGACUGUACUGUAGCUGCAAGGCCUGUCCGAGUUGUGGUCUCACGGCCCUGCGAGAGGUGCUCAUCAACAUGGCCCGCUCUUCGCCAUUCCUGAUGGGUCACUACCUCACAGCGGGGCCGGCUCUGCUGUCCCGGCCAGUGUCAUUGACUCUAAACUUGAAGUCCUUUGGGAGCCCUGAGCCAGUCGUCUCUGAGCCGCCCGGACCUGUGCUCUACGAGCGUUGGAGUCACCCACUCUUUCCAGAGGUCCAUAGUCAGGGGGCAAGUCCCCGGUCACUGCACAAGCAUCCAGAGUUGGAAGCACAAACUGGUUGUGAUUUAAGCACAAUGGCAGGGUUCUCACGGGCAGUGUGCACAGUCCUGGGCCUGGGAGGCUCCCCCCAGGUUGACCUUGUCCCCUGUUAUACUAAGGGUGCCCGUGUCUAGAAUUGCUGGCUGCCCUUGCUGAAGCUAGGUCUUGGCUUGUAAUCGUCAUUUUACUUCUUGUGCCCAUCCUAAGGCCUGAGCCCAGGCCACAUCUGUAUGUUGUGGGCCCAGGGAGUAGAGCCCUCCCUUGUC